CGUAACGCGUAUGCAACCUGCCUGACACAGGGGGAUAACAGUUAGAAAUGACUGCUAAUACCGCAUAAGCGCACAGGAUUGCAUGAUCUGGUGUGAAAAACUCCGGUGGUAUAAGAUGGACCCGCGUCUGAUUAGCUGGUUGGUGAGGUAACGGCCCACCAAGGCGACGAUCAGUAGCCGACCUGAGAGGGUGACCGGCCACAUUGGGACUGAGACACGGCCCAAACUCCUACGGGAGGCAGCAUG
rnacentral:rRNA from 1 species